UAUGAAAUACCCAAAACAUCAUACAAUUUGGGACGGAGGGAGGAAGGAACUUGAUUCUCUUAAGUAUGUGGAAUGAGUUGGAUUCCAAACUU
rnacentral:pre_miRNA from 1 species